rnacentral:rRNA from 1 species
UACGAAGGGGGCUAGCGUUGCUCGGAAUCACUGGGCGUAAAGGGCGCGUAGGUGGUGGCUUAAGCGUGCUGGUGAAAGCUCGGGGCUCACUCCGAGUCGGCCGUGCGAACUGGGCUCACUGGAGCAUAGUAGAGGCAGGUGGAAUUCCGGGUGUAGCGGUGGAAUGCGUAGAGAUCCGGAAGAACACCGGUGGCGAAGGCGGCCUGCUGGGCUAUGGCUGACACUGAGGCGCGACAGCGUGGGGAGCAAACAGGG